rnacentral:rRNA from 1 species
GCUGGCGGCAGGCCUAACACAUGCAAGUCGAGCGGUAGAGAGAAGCUUGCUUCUCUUGAGAGCGGCGGACGGGUGAGUAAUGCCUAGGAAUCUGCCUGGUAGUGGGGGAUAACGUUCGGAAACGGACGCUAAUACCGCAUACGUCCUACGGGAGAAAGCAGGGGACCUUCGGGCCUUGCGCUAUCAGAUGAGCCUAGGUCGGAUUAGCUAGUUGGUGAGGUAAUGGCUCACCAAGGCGACGAUCCGUAACUGGUCUGAGAGGAUGAUCAGUCACACUGGAACUGAGACACGGUCCAGACUCCUACGGGAGGCAGCAGUGGGGAAUAUUGGACAAUGGGCGAAAGCCUGAUCCAGCCAUGCCGCGUGUGUGAAGAAGGUCUUCGGAUUGUAAAGCACUUUAAGUUGGGAGGAAGGGUUGUAGAUUAAUACUCUGCAAUUUUGACGUUACCGACAGGAUAAGCACCGGCUAACUCUGUGCCAGCAGCCGCGGUAAUACAGAGGGUGCAAGCGUUAAUCGGAAUUACUGGGCGUAAAGCGCGCGUAGGUGGUUUGUUAAGUUGGAUGUGAAAUCCCCGGGCUCAACCUGGGAACUGCAUUCAAAACUGACUGACUAGAGUAUGGUAGAGGGUGGUGGAAUUUCCUGUGUAGCGGUGAAAUGCGUAGAUAUAGGAAGGAACACCAGUGGCGAAGGCGACCACCUGGACUAAUACUGACACUGAGGUGCGAAAGCGUGGGGAGCAAACAGGAUUAGAUACCCUGGUAGUCC